rnacentral:lncRNA from 1 species
UAUGUGUGUUCUGUUAUGCUAACAUUGUCCCUUUUUUUAUUUUUAUCUUACAGGAAAGCAGAAUAAUGUGCAAAACCAAGAUGAAACAGAUGUGUCAUUACGAUUCAGACAGAAAUGUAAAUCAGCUGAAGACAUCAGAACAAAAUGCCUUAACUGCCUGUCUCGUCGCUGCAGGGAUGGAUGUGGUUACAGCAGACAGAGGAAAAUCCACUGAGACGUGUGCUUAUCUAUCAAUUGUACCAGCUGUUUCUGGCCUGCUGGCUGUGAACAGGGAACCAAUACGUUAACCAGCCUGUGCUCCUCUGGAAUUUGUACACAAGCAGAGAC